rnacentral:rRNA from 1 species
GUGUACAGCGAUUGUCUUUUUAGAAGUGGUGUUCUAGGUUCCCUCUCAAGGAAUCGUGCAAGGAAUAAUGAUGAGAGAUCAGAUCUUCUUUUAUUUUCAGUAGCAAAUGUAAUCCCUAGACCAUGGGGGAGCGCAGCGGAGGGGUCCGAUAGGAGGACGGCGGCCGCUCCAGGCGCCACCGCCGCCCGAGCCACGGUUCCGCGAUCCCGCUCGCCUAGACGUCAUCCUAGGGGAACUCCGCCGUCCCCGCAAAGAACACCACGCGGGCACCCGUCGUCCGUCCCGCCGCGGGGGUCGGACACGCCGCCGCCCGUCGCCAGGUCCUGUCGCUACCGGAAGAGAAGCACGUAUCUACCACCGUCGUGAGGUACCUACUUGCACCUACCGAGACGUUCUACCCAGCGCCGUUGGCGCCUAGACCGCAGAGCAGGUCUAGGUGGCGCCGCACCAGAACCGGCCGGCCGCCACGCACCUCCCUGGCCACUCCCAUACCUCCUAGAGAUGGCCCCAUGGUCAACGCCGUAUCCAGAAGUACUGUUCUGAGGCGCGCCAAGAUCGGUUGGUGUUCUAGUCCUGCUGUGCUGAAAGCCACUUUUAGCACGGACUGACGCCAGAACCGCCUGCUACCGCUGCAGAGACUGCAGCAAAGGAAGAGCUCCGUAGCAACAACGUCCAGUGCAGUUGGACUGGCCCUUCAAGGCCCCCUUUGGGAUCUAGACCCAGAUGGCCUAGCCUGCUACUAUUGCAAAGCUACAGCAAGAGGUAGGACCCCCGUAGCAAAACCUGGUUCACGACCGACCUCCCCUGUUCUCCUCCUCACCACAAAGCAGAACAGGUAACUACUGCCGCCUAGAGCCGCCUCACCGCGUCACCUCUGAGCCGCGGACUAACACGCCUCUACCUGAGCGCGUCCUCCCACUGCGACGACCGCAGCACCACUGCAGCCGCCGUCGAUCUGGCCCAUUCCAACUACGUCGUCAUGUUAAGACUUCUACCUAACCGCCGUCCACCGACGCCGCCGGAGUAUGGGCCGUCCGCAGGACCAACUCCUCGUGCGGCCUAACCACCAACGGGUAUGGGCCGUCCGCAGGACCAACCCUGGAGUUCAGAAUCUACAAUCCAAACCAACGUUCCAGACAAACCAUAAUCCGGAUCUGAAAGUCGCGGAGAAGUAGUUGACCUAUUCUUAUCGCUGUAUACAACGAAUCAGCCACCGAAAUCAGAAUGACAACAUACUGAAACAUUCCAGAACAUAGUUAUUAAUUAUUUUACCAGCAUACGUAGGAGAUCUACGUCUCCGGCCCCCAGCAGGAAGAAAAAAAGAAUCUUUUUCUUCUUUUAUUUUCAUGCACUAGAAACCAGUUUCCAGUUAACCGCGCAUACCACGAUGGCAAAACCAUUGAGCGCGCUAACGUGAUAUAGUCACCUACGACGGGCCGGCGUAUCUUGACACAGAGCCAAAGUGGCAUGCAACGUAUUAGCUAGCGGCGAUGUUCAUACAUGUUUGGAUCGAUCCGAGGGCUCGCGGUCGGCUGGGCAGGUUCGUUACCGGUUGUCGUGGCCGCCGCCGUCGCCUCUCGUGGUGCAGACCUAUGGUCGAGUGCCGCAGCCGGCUCGUCCGUUCCGGCGGCGACGCGGCCUCUACACCGACUUAGCGAAGCAAGCGAGGCAGUGCGAUUAGCUCUCCCAACCGUUGCGGAACCCGUGCGACCGGAAGUGGACCCGGUGGCAGCAGGACGAGCCUCCGAUGAGGUUCCUGGAGCCUACGAUGAGGUUCCUGGAGCCUAAGCUAUUACUAAAAACCAUACGCUGCCACUAUCAUAAGGAGCUUCGAUGUUCCUACAAGUGUGCGUUGUUGUCUGACCUAAUGGUUGACAAGAAAUUGUGGUCCCCUCGAAAAUCUGGAUACCAGACCUUACCUGACCAACGCCAUCAUACGGAAAAACUACAAAAGCACUAGGAGAACUUCUUUUUAUCUAUGUACAGACCAUACUCCGAAGAUAACUACUGUCAUUAUGAAAGUUAACCGGCCAAGGACGGACCCGACUUUGACGUGUAUACGUUUGGCGAUGCGGCACGGUGUAGUGAUACCUCCGGGAAUCAACGUUAGAAUAAUGAUCGAGGGAGAGAUAGUCUGGCGUCAGCAGCUAUGUAUAUACCAGUACUACUCCUAGUUUGAGUGUAUCUAGGUAGCUGGUCUACCCAUCACAAGUGUUGUGAUGAUCACGGUCACGAUAACCAUUGUUAUUCGUCCGCUGCCAAAUGUUCUUAGUAGUUUGAUCACCUGUCUUGAGAACCGUCGUUUUUUCAUAAAACCGCAGUCCAAUAAUAUUUGAACACGUACUAACGACACGAUCCCUACGUUUACAUGUACGAUGCGGAUCUACAUAGGCACCUGUAAAGAUGCUCAUACUAUUAGGUUCACACACGGAAUCGCCACAACAGUAAACCGUUGAAGGUCUAAGGUCGUCGACACAACGCAUAGCACGAUCGUUAGAACCCGGAAGUCGUACACGGAUUAAUACCCCUUCUGCUGCUCUUGGAGUUUCGUAGAGAGUCUUAGAAGAUACCCUACCACGAACCUGUUCCUUAGAAGAUAAGAAACCGAACGUACGAGUUCAAGAAAAACAAGUAGGGAGCCUCUAUGGAACAGGUGGUACCUCCCAAAUCUCCAGUCACACCUCAUCUUAGACAGUUACACAUGAUACGUAUGCGGAACCUCUUUACAUACGUCCUCCCACACGAACGAGGUUUCUUCUAGUCGGACUGGUUGAAACGGUACCUAAGAGAUUUGAGCAUAAGUAGGUUCUUAGUCGAGGUGCCAUAAGCAGACUACGUGUCGAAAGACGUUACCGUCGGUUGGUCCCGUGUUGAGGACAGUUUUGAGUGGUGAAGGUGGUUAUGACCUAUGGCUCCGUCUUGUUUUCCAGUACAACUUCAGUAGUGACUUCCAUGACGUUUCCGAGUGUCCGUAACCGUUCCUUUAGCCGUAUUGUGACGACAUGUUCUAUAGUUUUGUAGGGAAAGAUAACUCUUUGGAACGUCUUUAGAACUUUCUGUUGUAUUGGUCGGUCCUUAGCUCUUUCAACCACCGGCCUUAGGACUCCUUGUAACGGUAACUACCCUUGUGUUCCGUCCUGUAUCCAGUGUAAGUUGACUAGUAGUGGUCCGACUUCGUCUGUAAAGAGUUACUUCUUUUAGGGUACUAACGGUUACGACUAGUGAACAGUGUCUUCCGGCGCCCCGUUCGGGACCGUUACAACUGUUGUCUUUCACGGGUUUUAACGAACUAACACAACGUCCUUGGUCUGAAGUAAUUCUUUGACUUUGUAUACUAGAACUAGGUACUACCGUUCAUGUAUAUACACCGUCGUUCAGACAAUGCAUUAGACACAGACGUGAGAGCUGUACUCGAGUCUCUCAACCUGAACUUUCUCGAUAGAGUAUAUAACGCUCUCCACAACCUCUUUUAUUAACUACACCUUCCCCAUCUUGAUCUCUAGUAGUAACCGGAAUCAAGUGAUUAAACGUUUUGGUAAGGACUUCUGAAAUGGGUUCUUGAUCUUCCGCCGGUCUAAUUCGCUUCUAAACACUUUUCCGAGCAGCUACACAACUUACGUUUAUGUCUUGGAUCACGAUUAACAGGACCCUAGUCUUCCCAAUAUGAACUCGUUCAGUAAUUGUACUACCUCAGGUUAAUAGCGAUACGCCUGACAAAGUUACUUAAGUCCUACUCUCUUCGGGAGAACCAGCAGCUUGUUUGUGACAGUGUGCGACUCUUGAUGUUCAAGAAGAACCCACUACGUCCAAAGUACCUCAUGUUGUGUGGAUAGAGGCGAGAACACCAUUCUCGUUUUCUCGAAUACACAACAUUGACUGAUCGAAAUUGGCAUCUAUCAUCGUCUUGAAGACUUGUGUAAACUAAGGAGUAAAGUAUUCGCUCAACAUCCUCUAAUAAGUAAAUGUUAACAUCACUUGACAUACAAUGUCAUGUUAUUCCCUGUGCACCUAAAUCUAAAGCAUCGUUCUUACGCCCACACUCCUCUUUUUCUUGUUAGAACCGAAAUUUCUGUGUUCCACGACUAUAUCAAGAUCUCUAAAGUAUAAACAUUAAACUUGGAGUCUAUUUUUUAUCACCUACAUACACGAAAUAAAAUGUUACUUUUUAUGAAAGUAAACGUCACCCUUGUCCACUAAAAAUAAUAAUACGUAUUAGUUUACCAAGAUAAACAUUGGUCAAUUAAGUAUAGUGACAAAACCGUAUAUGACCAUGUCCCUUUAAGAGUAUUUCAACCCCGGCUACGUCACUUCCCAAACAACAGGUUACAAAUGUUCUUUUAUAUCCUAAUACGUAGAUCCAAUCCUGUUGUUUCAACUUC